CUACUGCGCUCUAAAGAUGAAGUCAGCUUCGGAAGAGAAGCCUGAUAAGAGGAGGAAGCUGUUAGCUACUGGAAUUUAAAGAAAGAAAGAAAAGAAAGAAAGAAAGAAAAAAAACACGAGAAGCAUUGUAACCUUGCUGAGUUUCAUUCUUCCUCUGCUCUCCUGCUUCCCAGCAAAGGAGAACACUCUGCUCAGAGAUUCCCCUCGGGACAAAGUCAUCUCCAGUUUCCAGCUUGUUCAGACAUGGCAUUUGGCUGAAAAAAACCCCGCAAACGACCAGUACAACUCAAAAGAAAAUGUCACAUUACGUCAAUAAAAAUGAUUACUGGCAAUUGUCUUUCAAUACAAUUUCAUAUCAAUAACAAUCAGGUGGAUUUAAUCAAUCGCAGAUCGGGUUAAUAAUCAAUAAAGAUUA